rnacentral:rRNA from 1 species
AGAGUUUGAUCCUGGCUCAGGACGAACGCUGGCGGCGUGCUUAACACAUGCAAGUCGAACGAGGCCUUGUGCCUAGUGGCGAACGGGUGAGUAACACGUGAGCAACCUGCCCUUGGCUCUGGGAUAGCCUCCGGAAACGGGGAUUAAUACCGGACAUGACCGGGGACCGCAUGGUCUUUGGUGGAAAGUUUUUCGGCCAU